AUGUGUACACGUAUGUACACGUACGUACGUAACUACAUCAUCUCCACCCCUCAACCAGUAUUCUACAAGAGCACAGACACAAGGGACAACAGACACACCAGGCUGUACAUUGCAGAUGAGCUGAAGGCAGUCAUCAAUGACCUUGGACCACAGAAGGUAUUUGCACUGGUGACAGAUAAUGCUGCGAACAUGAAGGCUGCUUGGUCUAAAGUGAAGGAGUCCUACCCUCACAUCACACCCAUUGGCUGUGCUGCUCAUGCAUUGAAUCUGCUCCUCAAGGAUAUCACGGCACUGAAAACAAUGGAUACACUCUACAAGAGAGCCAAGGAAAUAGUUAGGUAUGUGAAGGGUCAUCAAGUUAUAGCAAUCUACCUCGCAAAGUGAGAAGAAUAAGAGCACCACAUUGAAGCUGCCCAGCAACACUUGUUGGGGUGGUGUUGUCAUGUUUGACAGUCUCCUGGAGGGGAAGGAGUCUCUCCAAGAAAUGGCCAUAUCCCAGUCUGCCAAUAUGGAAAGCCCCAUCAAGAGAAUCCUCCUGGAUGAUGUAUUUUGGGAGAGAGUUGCAAGCAGCCUGAAACUCCUGAAACCUAUAGCAGUAGCCAUUGCACAGAUUGAGGGAGACAGUGCCAUCCUGUCUGAUGUUCAGAAUCUGCUUGCAGAUUUACGAGAAGAAAUCCAUACUGCCCUGCCCACUUCACUGUUGCUCCAAGCAGAGGAAACUGCAGUUCUGAAAUACAUCAAAAAGCGUGAAGACUUCUGCCUGAAGCCUAUACAUGCUGCAGCAUACAUGUUGGACCCCAAGUAUGCUGGCAAGAGCAUCCUGUCUGGUGCAGAGAUCAACAAGGCCUAUGGUGUCAUCACCACCGUGUCUCGCCACCUUGGCCUGGAUGAGGGCAACGUUCUUGGCAGUCUGGCAAAGUACACUUCCAAGCAAGGGCUUUGGGAUGGAGAUGCAAUAUGGCAAUCGUGCCAACAUAUCUCAUCAGCCACCUGGUGGAAGGGACUUUGUGGAUCUGAGGCUCUUUCCCCUGUUGCCUCCAUCUUCCAAAUCUCACCAACAUCAGCCGGCUCAGAGCGCAACUGGUCCUUGUUUGGGAACACACACACACCAAAGCACGCAACAGGCUGACCAAUACAUGGGUUGAAAAAUUGGUUGCCAUCCGGGCAAUUUGAGGCUUUUUGAGCCUGACAGCGAGCCAUCCUUAACAAGGUUGGAAAGUGACAGUGGAGAUGAGGCCUGAUGUCCAAGAGGUGGACAUUGAGAAGGUCCAGGGAGAAGACAUGGAAGCCUGAAAGGAAGACAACCAAAGCUUUAGUUUCUAGACUAUCAUUUUACAGAUAUAUGUUGAAAAAGUUUUUGGGAGAUGCGAUGGAUCAUUGGGGAUCAUUCAAUAUUCCCUUUCUUUUGUUGUUCAGUGAAAUCAUCCCAAGUGAAGAGUUAAUUCAUUGAAUUAAAGUUCAAUUCGUAACAAUUUUUUAAAUUUCUUUUAGAAGGAUUUAACCAUUUGCAAUUGUCUGCAUAUGAUAAGGUAAAUGGUUUGUUUCUGUCUCCAUAUGAUAUGGUAAAUGCAAAGCUGUAAUCAAGGCAAAGGGUGACUACUUUGAAUAAUUUGUUUAAAAUGUUGAUAACACAUGGAAUCAUGUAGUAAUUUCAUAGUUAUGUCUUUGCUAUUAUUUUACAAUGUAAAAAUAAAAGAAAACCCUUGAAUGAGUAGGUGUACAAACUUUCGACUUGUACUGUAUAUGGAUGACUUAUAAAACCAGGCACAGAUAACAGCUAGGCUAUUGACCUAAUUAAGUUGGUUUCCACUAUCCUCAAUUAUCUUUAGGCUAAAUCAAGGACAAUUAGGCUAAAUCAAGGGCUUUUUCCUCGCCUCUGCUGCCUCUCCGCGUUGUUCUCAAUAUGCCGGUUAACUUUUCUAUUAUACACAUGGCAACAUAGGGAAAGGCGCUAAUUCUACGGUGCACUGAAGAUUGUUUCAGAACUGCGGACAGAGACCUUAUCCAACACGGGAGGAAGUGCAUUUGUUAUAAAAUAAUAUUAGAUUUAUUAGUGUUGCGCCAUUAGUUUUGCACAAUAUAACCAUAUACAAUUUCAGCAUCACGUCUUAGUGAUGGACUGUGCCAUCCCUGUGGCCUCCGCAAUGGAAUAGACCAAUGAGACAGCGCGAAUCAGACAAGUGUCUUGUGCACCAUUUUAAUUUUUUUAUAAUAAUUGCGACUGCUCGACUACAGAAAUCUCGGUCGACCAACAGCCUAUCAACCAAACAAACGACCAUUCUACUAAAUGGGGUCAUCCCUAGUACUGAUCAACAACAUUUGCAUAGAAGUAUCUUAUUUUAUAAAAAUGCGCGCUGUCUCUUUAACAAGUAAUGACGUAAUUCAGGAGGGAGCGGCUGUCAGAGCCCUAUUUACACACAGUCAGUUCGCUGAGACAAUAGAUCAUCUUUGGGAGAGACCAAUUUUUAAGUAAAUUAAUAAAGUUUUGGUGGCAAUUAGCAUAUUUUACAUCAUGGUUUGCCAAAUUAUUAGGGUAGUGAAUUGAUGUUAGCUUCUGCUGUAAGCUAGCAAGAAAAGUUAGCCUACAACGCUGGAAGUAACCGUCAUCUUCUUGCAUUGUGAAGUGCUUUGUAUGUUUUGCGAACCGUUUCUACAUGCCGUGUUUCAUUGUUCAAGUGUGCAAACUUCUCUGCAGAAUGAGUGGUUAGCUAACACGAUGCAGCCGAGACUCCCGGUAGGGACUAAGUGGAGCUGGUACUGUGUGCUCGCGCUGUAAGGGGGACAUGGGCUGCACUGAUACAAACUUGAUCCGUGAGACACAUUUUACAUAAGAACUGAAAGUAACAAAUUCAACUACCGAACCAUUUUUCAUGUUCUAGUAUCGAAAUGGCAUAUGAACACGUAUUAAGCCAUGAUCAAUUUUUAAAGGGAUACUUCGGUAUUUGGGGUAAUUUCCUACUUACCCAGAGUCAGACAAACUUAUGGAUGUCAUUUUUAUGUCUCUGCUUAUAGUUUGAAGGAAGUUGAAGGUAGCAUAUUGUUAGCUUAGCGCAAUUGCUGGAAGUCUACUAGCCAGCUCCUCUCAAAACCAGGGAAAUAGCCCUUCUAACUACUCCAAAGCUGGGUGGUUGGUCAUUCAUAGUCUUACAAAGCUAUACAUAGUAAUCAAUAUUUUAUAUAUUCAGUAUUUUUACUGAUAAUCCUAAGAAAUUAGAUUCUAUUAAUUUCCUAAUUUAUGGACAGCUUUGGGUUUUGCCUGUACUCUCUUGUAAGACUUGGUGUGGAUUUGUUAACAAAAGGCAGUCAGUCAGCUGUUGCGUGCUCUAGUAGCUAAAGUAGCAAUCUUUCUUGCUUAUUGGCAAAUAAUAAUAACAUUUGAUAAGGUUUUUUAUUCAGAGCCAUAUUUAUUCAAGACAGAAUUUACUGAGGAGGAACUUGUGCAGUUUCAGAGCACGGAGAGAGGCUGAGUCAGCGUAGCCGGUAGACCAGGAGCAGUGGCGAGAACCAGGUCUAAGGGACUGGUGGUGCAACUGCGGAGCAUGUCAACCCAUGGCAACUGCCGAUUGUUACUGUCAUCGAUUUGGGGAGCUUGAUAUCUACGUUGAAGAAAGCAUCCCACCCAGAGACUGUGUAACAAACCCAAGGACUUUUCUGCGCUCAUCUAUCCUGGAGUUAUAGAGACAUUCUUCCAUGUUUCAAAAGUAAACUAGAAGAAGCAGCCCAUACCUGCAGGACCGACUACACAGCUGUCUAUCAAUCAAUACAGGCUGGUUGCGUAUCGACUGGUGUUGGAAUGGGCACUGAAGGGAGAAAUACUGGGACGAGGGAACAGAAGAGUCUUGCCUUCAUGUGUUGUUUGUGCCAUUCGCCACAAAAAUCUCUUACCGACUGGAGUCUAUAUGGGAUUCAAGGAGGCAAAGGAUGUAAUGGACCUGUUGUAAUUACUCUGAGGAUUCGGCUUCACAGACAGACCUUGUCUAACCAAUUUUGUCAAAUUACUCUAGUAAUUGCUGUUUAAACCAGUACAACCCAUUUUGUUAAUGUUGCCAAAUUACUGUAAUAUAUGCCAUUUGAAACAGUACCAUCUUUUUUUGUAACUAUCUACUAUAAAUGAUUCAUUACAGUU